GCCGAGAUGGCGGAACGGUAGACGCAGUUGACUCAAAAUCAACCGGGGCGACCCGUGCGGGUUCGAGUCCCGCUCUCGGCACCA
rnacentral:tRNA from 2 species